rnacentral:rRNA from 1 species
GACGAACGCUGGCGGCGUGCUUAACACAUGCAAGUCGAACGGAAAGGCCCUGCUUUUGUGGGGUGCUCGAGUAGCGAACGGGUGAGUAACACGUGAGUAACCUGCCCUUGACUUUGGGAUAACUUCAGGAAACUGGGGCUAAUACCGGAUAGGAGCUCCUGCUGCAUGGUGGGGGUUGGAAAGUUUCGGCGGUUGGGGAUGGACUCGCGGCUUAUCAGCUUGUUGGUGGGGUAGUGGCUUACCAAGGCUUUGACGGGUAGCCGGCCUGAGAGGGUGACCGGCCACAUUGGGACUGAGAUACGGCCCAGACUCCUACGGGAGGCAGCAGUGGGGAAUAUUGCACAAUGGGCGGAAGCCUGAUGCAGCAACGCCGCGUGCGGGAUGACGGCCUUCGGGUUGUAAACCGCUUUCGCCUGUGACGAAGCGUAAGUGACGGUAAUGGGUAAAGAAGCACCGGCUAACUACGUG